rnacentral:rRNA from 1 species
CGUGUAGGCGGCCGAUUAAGUCUGGAGUGAAAGUCCUGCUUUUAAGGUGGGAAUUGCUUUGGAUACUGAUUGGCUUGAGUGCGGAAGAGGUAAGUGGAAUUCCCAGUGUAGCGGUGAAAUGCGUAGAGAUUGGGAGGAACACCAGUGGCGAAGGCGACUUACUGGGCCGUAACUGACGCUGAGGCGCGAAAGCGUGGGGAGCGAACA